GAUGAACGCUAGCUACAGGCUGAACACAUGCAUGUCGAGGGGCAGCAUGAACUUAGCUUGCUAAGUUUGAUGGCGACCGGCGCACGGGUGCGUAACGCGUAUCCAACUUUCCCGUUACUCAGGUAUAGCCUUGCGAAAGUAAGAUUAAUCCCUGAUGACAUGUUUAAGUUGCAUGACUUUGACAUUAAAGAUUUAUCGGUAACGGAUAGGGAUGCGUUCCAUUAGGUAGUUGGUGAGGUAACGGCUCACCAAGCCCGCGAUGGAUAGGGGUUCUGAGAGGAAGGUCCCCCACACUGGAACUGAGACACGGUCCAGACUCCUACGGGAGGCAGCAGUGAGGAAUAUUGGUCAAUGGUCGGAAGACUGAACCAGCCAAGUAGCGUGAGGGAUGACUGCCCUAUGGGUUGUAAACCUCUUUUAUAUGGGAAUAAAAAAGUCUACGUGUAGACAAUUGUAUGUACCUUAUGAACAAGCAUCGGCUAAUUCCGUGCCAGCAGCCGCGGUAAUACGGAAGAUGCGAGCGUUAUCCGGAUUUAUUGGGUUUAAAGGGUGCGUAGGCGGCGUCUUAAGUCAGCGGUGAAAUUUAGGGGCUCAACCUCUACCGUGCCGUUGAUACUGGGAUGCUGGAAUGCGGAUGCCGUGGGAGGAAUGUGUGGUGUAGCGGUGAAAUGCAUAGAUAUUCACCCAGAACACCGAUUGCGAAGGCAUCUCACGAAUCCGCUAUUGACGCUGAUGCACGAAAGCGUGGGGGAUCAAACAGGAUUAGAUACCCUGGUAGUCCACGCUGUAAACGAUGAUGACUAACCGUCGGCGAUACACAGUCGGUGGCCAAGCGAAAGCGAUAAGUCAUCCACCUGGGGAGUACGACCGCAAGGUUGAAACUCAAAGGAAUUGACGGGGGCCCGCACAAGCGGAGGAACAUGUGGUUUAAUUCGAUGAUACGCGAGGAACCUUACCCGGGCUCGAACGGCAGAUGAAUAACGUAGAGAUAUGUUAGUCUUCGGACAUCUGUCGAGGUGCUGCAUGGUUGUCGUCAGCUCGUGCUGUGAAGUGUCGGCUUAAGUGCCAUAACGAGCGCAACCCUUGCCGUCAGUUGCCAUCAGGUAAUGCUGGGGACUCUGGCGGGACUGCCACCGCAAGGUGUGAGGAAGGGGGGGAUGACGUCAAAUCAGCACGGCCCUUACGUCCGGGGCGACACACGUGUUACAAUGGUGGGUACAGAGGGAUGCUACCUGGCGACAGGAUGCUGAUCUCGAAAACCCAUCCCAGUUCGGAUUGGAGUCUGCAACCCGACUCCAUGAAGUUGGAUUCGCUAGUAAUCGCGCAUCAGCCAUGGCGCGGUGAAUAC
rnacentral:rRNA from 1 species